rnacentral:rRNA from 1 species
GAUGAACGCUAGCGGCAGGCUUAAUACAUGCAAGUCGAGGGGCAGCAUGAUUGUAGCAAUACAAUUGAUGGCGACCGGCAAACGGGUGCGGAACACGUACACAACCUUCCUUCGAGCGGGGAAUAGCCCAGAGAAAUUUGGAUUAAUACCCCAUAGUAUACUGAAGAGGCAUCUCUGUGGUAUUAAAGAUUUAUCACUUGAAGAUGGCUGUGCGGCUGAUUAGGUAGUUGGCGGGGUAACGGCCAACCAAGCCUGCGAUCAGUAACUGGUGUGAGAGCACGACCAGUCACACGGGCACUGAGACACGGGCCCGACUCCUACGGGAGGCAGCAGUAAGGAAUAUUGGUCAAUGGACGAAAGUCUGAACCAGCCAUGCCGCGUGAAGGAUGAAGGUCCUCUGGAUUGUAAACUUCUUUUAUAUGGGACGAAAAAGGGGCUUUCUAGCUCAACUGACGGUACCAUUUGAAUAAGCACCGGCUAACUCCGUGCCAGCCGCCGCGGUAACAC